rnacentral:rRNA from 1 species
UUGAACGCUGGCGGCAUGCCUUACACAUGCAAGUCGAACGGUAGAGGGGCAACCCUUGAGAGUGGCGAACGGGUGAGUAAUGCAUCGGAACGUGCCCAGUCGUGGGGGAUAACGCAGCGAAAGCUGUGCUAAUACCGCAUGUGAUCUGUGGAUGAAAGCAGGGGACCGCAAGGCCUUGUGCGAUUGGAGCGGCCGAUGUCAGAUUAGCUAGUUGGUAGGGUAAAAGCCUACCAA